rnacentral:rRNA from 1 species
UACGUAGGGUGCGAGCGUUGUUCGGAUUUACUGGGCGUAAAGGGCGCGUAGGCGGCAAAUCAAGUCAGCUGUGAAAUCUCCGAGCUUAACUCGGAACGGUCAGCUGAUACUGUUUUGCUAGAGUACAGAAGGGGCAAUCGGAAUUCUUGGUGUAGCGGUGAAAUGCGUAGAUAUCAAGAGGAACACCUGAGGUGAAGACGGGUUGCUGGGCUGGUACUGACGCUGAGGCGCGAAAGCUAGGGUAGCAAACGGG